UACGAAGGGGGCUAGCGUUGCUCGGAAUCACUGGGCGUAAAGCGCACGUAGGCGGCUUUCUAAGUCAGGGGUGAAAUCCUGGAGCUCAACUCCAGAACUGCCUUUGAUACUGGAGAGCUUGAGUCCGGAAGAGGUGAGUGGAACUCCGAGUGUAGAGGUGAAAUUCGUAGAUAUUCGGAAGAACACCAGUGGCGAAGGCGGCUCACUGGUCCGGUACUGACGCUGAGGUGCGUAAGCGUGGGGAGCAAACAGG
rnacentral:rRNA from 1 species